rnacentral:rRNA from 1 species
AGUGGCGGUCCCGCCGCAGCUUCCAUCGCGUAGUAGCUAACACCUCGCGACUGGAGAGCGGCGCGGCCACGCCGUAAAACACCCAACUCUUCUGAAGUUGACCUCGAAUCAGGUAGGAAUACCCGCUGAACUUAAGCAUAUCAAUAAGCGGAGGAAAAGAAACCAACAGGGAUUGCCCCAGUAACGGCGAGUGAAGCGGCAACAGCUCAAAUUUGAAAUCUGGCUCUCGGGCCCGAGUUGUAAUUUGUAGAGGAUGCUUUUGGUGAGGUGCCUUCCGAGUUCCCUGGAACGGGACGCCAUAGAGGGUGAGAGCCCCGUCUGGUUGGACGCCGAACCUCUGUAAAGCUCCUUCGACGAGUCGAGUAGUUUGGGAAUGCUGCUCUAAAUGGGAGGUAUAUGUCUUCUAAAGCUAAAUACCGGCCAGAGACCGAUAGCGCACAAGUAGAGUGAUCGAAAGAUGAAAAGAACUUUGAAAAGAGAGUUAAACAGUACGUGAAAUUGUUGAAAGGGAAGCGCUUGUGACCAGACUUGGGCUUGGUUGAUCAUCCGGGGUUCUCCCCGGUGCACUCUUCCGGCCCAGGCCAGCAUCAGUUCGCCCUGGGGGACAAAGGCAUCGGGAACGUGGCUCUCUCCGGGGAGUGUUAUAGCCCGUUGCGUAAUA